rnacentral:rRNA from 1 species
AUUGAACGCUGGCGGAAUGCUUUACACAUGCAAGUCGAACGGCAGCACGGACUUCGGUCUGGUGGCGAGUGGCGAACGGGUGAGUAAUAUAUCGGAACGUGCCCAGUCGUGGGGGAUAACGUAGUGAAAAUUACGCUAAUACCGCAUACGAUCUACGGAUGAAAGCGGGGGAUCGCAAGACCUCGCGCGAUUGGAGCGGCCGAUAUCAGAUUAGGUAGUUGGUGAGGUAAAGGCUCACCAAGCCGACGAUCUGUAGCUGGUCUGAGAGGACGACCAGCCACACUGGAACUGAGACACGGUCCAGACUCCUACGGGAGGCAGCAGUGGGGAAUUUUGGACAAUGGACGCAAGUCUGAUCCAGCCAUUCCGCGUGCAGGACGAAGGCCUUCGGGUUGUAAACUGCUUUUGUACAGAACGAAAAGGUCUCUAUUAAUACUAGGGGCUCAUGACGGUACUGUAAGAAUAAGCACCGGCUAACUACGUG